UACGUAGGGGGCGAGCGUUGUCCGGAUUUAUUGGGCGUAAAGAGCGUGUAGGCGGCCAGGUAGGUCCGUUGUGAAAACUCGAGGCUCAACCUCGAGACGUCGAUGGAAACCAUCUGGCUAGAGUCCGGAAGAGGAGAGUGGAAUUCCUGGUGUAGCGGUGAAAUGCGCAGAUAUCAGGAGGAACACCAAUGGCGAAGGCAGCUCGCUGGGACGUGACUGACGCUGAGACGCGAAAGCGUGGGGAGCAAACAGG
rnacentral:rRNA from 1 species